AUGUGGCUAUCUCAUGAGCUCUUACCAAGAGGACUGCGAAGAAUAGAAAUGGUGCCAACAUCAAUUGUGGAAGAGACCAAAUGCUUUAAAUGUAUGUAUUGUUGUGAGUUUUAUCGAUUAAUGAGUUUGGUCUGA